rnacentral:lncRNA from 1 species
CCUGCCAUGACGCAGCGAGGCCGCCAUCUUGAGAGAGCUCCCUGAGGAACCUGAGGAGGGAGCUCCUGUCCUGCUCUGUACAUGAACUGGUGAGAGAGGCGAGGUUGAUGAGCAGCACCAGGGCAAGGGCAAGAACAGGUAUGGGAAAUUUGUUGCUGUGUUUCUUGCACGGAGAAUGAAGUGGGUGCAUGGUUUUCUUGUGAAUCUAGCAUGGAAACUUGAUGCUGAGUUUGUAUCUAAGUAUCUUCACUGGGAAAAGCAUCAGAUGGUUAUAUCAAGAAAGAGCAUCAGGAGUAAGAAAGAGUGUCUAUUGGUUCCAUUUUAUUUUGGCCUUCUCUGACUUGGGGAAUGCAUCAGAUGGUCAUACCUAGAAGGAGCAUCAGGAGGAAGAAAGAAACGUCUAUAGGUUCCAGUUUAUUUCAGCCUUCUUGUCAUUGUCAUCACAAAUAAAUGCUGGUCAAUGAUUUGAUGCUAUAGUAUAUGGGUACUCAUUAAGAUUUAGGACCUCACAAAAACUGUCAGUGCAGUUUUGUUCGUCGCACUAUGGCGUUCCAGUAGCGGCUGCCAGUUAUACUAUUGGAAAGUCAACUUCUCGACAUUGGCGGCCGUAAGUAAUUCUCUCCGUAGCCAUCCUUAAUUUUUAACCUUAAUCACGUUGACAUUGUUACAACAUGCCUUAGUUUACUUGAUCAGGCAUGACUUCUCUUACCAGCUUCACCAUGGAUCUCUUCGGCUCUUCGCUAGCUAUUAUUCCGGACCAAAUUUUGACACAACGAUUGAACUGAAGGAUGCUGCAUCACCUUUAUUCAACAGGAAAAUGCACUGUAUUUGCGAAAGAACAAAAAUAAUUGCUGAAGAUUUGUAAGUUGGAGAGAUAGCACUACAUGGAAUUAAAGCGUCAUUCCAAGAAGUGUAUAUGAUUUACAGCAAUCAUCAUGCAUCGGCGUCGCGGUCAUGGUGUGUACAACAACAAUGAACAACUGGUGAGUGGAGGGACCAAAACUGCUGCUCCCUUCUUCGGCUUGAAUCUUGACCGUUUACUUGCUGACUCUGUUGUUAUCAAGCGUGCGCUUUGGUUUAUUUGCUCCACACGCUUGCAGUUGUUUUCCGCUUUCCACUAGUAUAUAAUGUAGGUUUUCGCUCUUAUGCUUAUGCCUAUGUUUAUGAACUAAAAUUUAAAUUUUAAAAUUAUUCUUAUCUUAAAAUUGAUUUUGUGGUUUUAUUUAUCAUGGUUUAUUUUUUUUGUAUCACUAAGAAUAUAAAAAUUUUACCAUUAAAUUAUUUUUUUCUUUGCUAAUAAACGUUACGAAUAGACGUAAGAUAAGCGAAACGAUGGAUCACGAGCAUAAAAUCCUAAGCAUGUGAUGGAUGGGUGGAUGACUAGUUAACUCAGACGAUCACUUAUGUCCUUUUUUGUUUUUUGAAAUGAGAUUAUAAACUGAUUCACUGGGCUUUGAUCUAUUGUCAGAUACCUUCUCUGCAUCCCGCCGCCGCCGCCGUGGAGGCGUGGAGGUGUGAUUAUUUAUUGGAGAAUGGGCGCGGAGCGGUGAACGGUCGCCUUACCGAGCGGUGGCCAUCUGGUCUCGUUUCAACGGUUCGGAUCAAGUCGCGCGUGCGAGCGAUUAUAUAAUACUUCGUCCGUUUUAUAAUGUAAGACUUUCUAACAUUAUCUACAUUCAUAUGGAUGUUAAUUAAUCUAGACAGUAUGAAUAAUGGUAGAAAAUCUUACAUUAUGAAACGGAGGGAGUAGUAACAUUUUGCACGUGAGCCCUUAGACUACUGUGCAUUCGUGCUUAAGGGCUCCUUAAGGAAUGAGCCCUUUAGUUUUUUAGGAAUUUUAGAGAAAAAUUAGCAUGAACUCACACCUCCUGGAAGUCUUUGUAUCACUCUUUUCUCCAAAUCCUAUAGCGUUUUCAUGUGAAGCAUCCAAACUAUAUGACUAGACAAUUCUUGUGUUCUAUGAUUUGACAUUAUUUAGGAUGAGAUGGUAUUAUACCGUCCUAAUUCCUUUGUUUUCCUGUUGCCUGUGUUUUUGAAUUCUGCUUUUUAAAGUCGUUCCGGGUAGGAUCACUACCAAUAGUAGCGAUCUGUAUGCUGCUUGGAUCAAGGUUACAGGCAACCUCAUGAUAUUUCUACUUAGACCAUGUUUUUUUUCUUCAACUCUAAAUUUUAAUUUUCUCGAUUUUUGUUAGUACGUGUUUUAAAAUGUUAAAUAAUGUGUGUAUUUGUUAAAAAAAAUAUACAGAAGUUGUUUAGAAAUUCAAGUAAAACUAUUUUUUUUUUAAUUUUAUGAUAGUUAAUAUUUAAUAAAUCAUGUACUAAAACAUUUUUCUCGUUUCGAAUGCUUUGAUUUAAUCAUUAAUAAAGCUCUCUCUUUCAUGUAAAAAAAAAAUUCCCAGCAGCUACGAACAGGCCAUUAGGAAUUUAGGAUUCCUUGGACUUUUUUUUUUUUUUUGCUCUUCUUUGAGUUGGGCCGGAAUACAUGGGCCUCAACUCCUCAAGUGGUCGUUCCCAUUUAGGCCCAACACAAUCCACAGGCAUUCGUUCUUCCCCCAGACCGGCGGCGACAAUGUCCCUCUCUGCCGCCGUCGCUCCUCAAAUCCCUCCGGCGAGUGGCGUGCUCGCGGCUCCGUAUCCUGUCCUGGCUUCCGCCACCACCCCCGCAGCGCUGCGAGCUUGCUCCUCCCGGCCCGUGCCUGGCAACUCUGGGGGAAGGGUGGGCCGCUUCCCUGUGUAUCGGCGCGCUCUCAGGGUGUUCGGCGAAAUGCUCGAGUGUCUUGCCACGGGCGGCGGGUGACCGUGGCCGUAGAAGAGCUCGUGCGGUUGAGAAUGUCGAUCAGGGAUUGGUUGGUGCUGCGUGAGUUCGUGCUGCUCCUUCGAGAUGGUUAGUUGUGCUGCAUUUUCUUUCCACUCCAAUACUCCAUGCUAGUGCCUAUCGUUUGUUCUGGUAUUUUAUCUAGGUUACAACCAACUUUAGUCAUCAUUUCUAGAAUGCGUUGAGCGGAAACAAAUGGCGGGCAGCAGCUAAAUCCUAAAUACUCUCUCCGUUUCAAAUUACUUGCCGUUCUAGGUUUGUACUAAGUCAAACAUUUUAAUCUUUGACCAUCAGUUUCUAUAUAUUAUAUUUUUAGAUUCAUCAUAAGACAUACUUUCAAAGAUAGAUGUAUUUGACUUAGGAAAAAACAUAGAGUGACAAAUAAUUUGAAACAGAUGGAGUAUCUUGGUAUCUUCACUUGAAUGGAAACAAUUUCGACUCUCUCAGUAAAAAACUCAAGGAUCAUAACCAUGUUCUCACUUGUUUGUACUUUUUGUCAUGCCUGUACAACUUGGGUGUGGAUAGUGUUUCAAGAAACAGGGAAAGGAAGAGAAUCACUUAAAACACUUUUUGAUGGAAUUAAACAUUCACUAAGCAAAAACAAGUAACAUCAAUUUGCUGAAAUGAUAUUAGUCUGUCCCAAGCUGUACAUAACAAACUAUAAGACAAGUCAGAAGUACUACUUAUAGGGAACUACAAAAUUAUCUAUCAUGUUUUUAUAAUUUUAUAUCUUUAUUUCAGUGCCUAUACUGUCCAGACAAGUGACAACUUCCAUGAUAGUUGGCCUCUUCAAAGGAUUACAGUCAACACACUUGCAAGCAGUUUCGAGCACCUUUAGCAUUUGCUCUUCGCACCCUGUGCCUCGAAGUGUUGGAUCCAACACCUCAAUCUGCUUUCCCUCUGAUCUCAUCUUAUGUACCCAUGGGACAAGUUCCUCUGAUGUAGACAAGAUUGGAACAGGGCGCCUCCCCGUGAGAAGCUCUAGCAGGACCACUCCGAAACUAUACAUAUCACCUCUCAAUGUAGCAACCCAUGAUUGCCCAUAUUCAGGGGGAAUGUAACCCAGAGUGCCAACUAGUUCAGUUGUGACAUGGGUUAUGUUGGGAAGGACCAACCUUGACAGCCCAAAAUCUGCAAUAUACGAUUUGAAUUCUUUGUCAAGUAAUAUAUUGCUGGACUUGAUAUCACGGUGGACGAUAUGAGGCUUGCAGACAUCAUGGAUGUAAUGAAGGCCCUGACUUGCUCCCUGUGCAAUCUUCAGCCUGGUUGGCCAGUCGAGAAAUGAGCUGGCAUCAUCAUCCCAAUUGUGAAGCCAAUCGUCUAAACUACCAUUCUCCAUUAAGGAGUAUAUGAGGAGCCUCAGAUUGCCCUGGAUGCAGUAACCCCAGAAGGGCACGAGAUUGGCAUGCUGUGCCAUGGAUAGUGCAUCAACCUCUGCACUGAAUUCCCUUUCUGUUAGACACAUUUCACUAUUGAGCUUCUUGAUAGCGAUCUUGGAACCAUCUGGUAACUCAGCUUUGUAGACUAGCCCAUAGCCUCCACACCCAAUGAUAUGCGCCUUGUCGAAGUUAUUUGUAGCUUUCACAAUGUCAGCAAAUGUGAGGUUGAUUUCUUCUCCCUUUCCUCGUGUAAUCAUUAUCAAUGAAUGCUCUGAAUCAGAGUUGAAUGAAGCUGCUUCUAAAUCACCAUCGUUGUCACUACUAUUUUUGGUUAUGAAGCGUUUGCUCCUUUCUGAGACAAAGAAACACCCUAGCAACAAAAGAAUGCAAAUCCCUCCAAAGAAGACACCAAAUGAUAUUGCGAGAACGAUUUUUUUAUUCUGUUCUUUUCUGGACACUGAACUUGCUUCUGCUGAACUGCAGUGGUGAUUGAACCUAGAGUCACAAAGCUUUGGGUUUCCUUCGAAGCUUGAGUUUGAGAAUGUAUCAAAUUGGCCUCCAGUUGGAAUAGGCCCCUCUAGGUCAUUGUUGGAAAUAUUGAAUGCUGAGAGGAAGUUCAGAUUGCUUAGUCCAGGAGGGAUUUCACCUGUGAGAUGGUUAUUGGACAAAUGUAGAACCUGGAGGCUUGUGAGGUUGCAAAUUGAUUGUGGGAUCUGCCCAGAUAAGUUGUUGAAGCUGAAAUCAAGCACAACAAGCACUUCCAACUGACCAAUCAUUGGGGAAAUCACACCUAUGAAGUUGUUAUGGCUCAGAUUCAACAACGUAGGGAAGCCAGUAAGCGUGCGGUAUUGAAAUGAUGGCCCGUUAUAAACAGGAAGCUCAAAAGCCCCUGGGUCCAAAUGGGCUAUGUCUGAUGUUGAUCUUAGCAUUGGCAAAUUCAUCAAGGUGAUCGGAAUUUCUUCUGUAAGUCUGUUGUCUGAUACAUCUAUAUAGAACAGGUGGUUUAAGGAAUCAAUCCAUCUUGGUAUUGGUCCUGUGAGUUGAUUGCCAUUUAAAAGUAGCAUCUCCAGAUUCGUGAGCCUGGAUAACCAUAGAGGUAUUUUCCCAGACAACAAGCAACUGUUUAUGUCAAGAACUUGAAGAUUCCCAAAACCAUCAAUACUUUCGUCCUGUGGCAUGACCUCUCCUCUAAAGUUGUGCCCAAUAAGCAGGGUGGUAAUGGUGCUGCAACUUUUAAGGAUCUGAAGUGCUUUUGUGAUGUUAGUAAGCUUGUUGUCAUCAAGUGAGAAGAAGGAAAGAUACUUCAGAUUGAUUAUUCCCGGUGACAACUCUCCAUGGAAAUGGUUGCCUGAUAACCGUAGGGCUGUCAAAUUGCUGCAUGAAUAGAUGCUUUCUGGAAUUGUGCCGGUGAAGUUGUUGAAGUAAAGAUCUAAAGUUUUUAGAUUGUGUAGAGCGGAGAAAUUGACUUUGCCAAGAUCUCCACUGAAGUUAUUGUGCUUGAGAUCAAUGAUUGAGAGAUUUGUGCAGCUGCCCAGAGUUCCGGGCAACUCGCCAGACAUCAUGUUGCUGUCCAAAUGUAACUCCUCCAAUCUCUUCAGUUGGCUGAUAGAAUCUGGAAUCUUGCCAAUGAACUGAUUCCCUCCCAGAUCAAGAGUUACUAGAUUUCUCAGUUUUGCUAUCUGUGUACCAUCAAUUUCCCCAUGCAAAUUAUUGUUAGGAAAAGAUAGGUACUCCAAUGAGACAUCAUUGAAGAGUUCACCUGGGAGUGUCCCACUGAGCUUGUUGUGACCAGCCUUCAGAACUUUGAGCAUGGAGCAAUUACCAAGUCCUGAGGGGAUGCUGCCACUGAAUUGAUUGUAACAUAGUUCAAGCACAGAUAAAUUUGAUGAGCUGUCACAAAAACGAGUCGGUAUCUUCCCAGUAAACUUAUUACUGCUGACAUUGAGGGCGACCAGAUUUUUCAUCACAUCCCAUAUGGAAGAUGGAAACUGCCCUGUAAAUAAAUUACUUGAGAUGUUGAGUACCUGCAGUGGCCUGAUAGGGGUUGAAGAUGGCAACUCGUUGAGACCUCCAUUCAGCCUGUUAAAGCUGACGUCAACGAUGAUGAUAGUGCUGGAAGACACCAAUUCUUGUGGUAAGGCACCAGAUAGCAUGUUGUGGGAGAGAUUGAGACGCAGCAAUCCAGUGAGGUUGCCAAGAGACGGUGAGAUGUUCCCCUGAAGGUUCCUAGAAGCCAGAGAAACAUCAGUUACCGUCCCAUCUUGGCUGCAGGCGAUCCCGUCCCAUUUGCAGCAAUCUGUGCCGUCCUGCCAUGAUGCAGAGAGGCCUCCAUCCUGAGAGAGCUCCCUGAUGAACUUGAGGAGGGAGCUCCUGUCCUGCUCUGUACAUGAACUGGUGAGAGAGGCGAGGUUGAUGAGCAGCACCAGCGCAAGGGCAAGAACAGGUAUGGGAAAUUUGUUGCUGUGUUUCUUGUAAUGAAGUAGCUGCAUGGUUUUCUGGUGAAACUAACAUGAAAAACCUGAUGCUGAGCUUUGUUCCUGACUGGAUAGGACUAAUCAAUGAAGAGCAUCAGGAGGAAGAGAGAAGCUGCCCUUGCUUCCAUUUUAUUCUG